CGGGUGAGGGCUGAGGGCACGGCUUUCCGAAGGGCAGGGCCCGGUUCUACCCUGGGCGCUGCUGGGGAUAAAAGAGCUCGGUUGCCGCUGUGGGGCACUGCGGGGAAACAGCGGGAGCAGGGAGGUUGAGUGCUCUCCCAACAGAACAGCUCUCAGAAGUGUGUUUGAGCUCGCUUGGUAAUUAGCUGCUUUUAGAGAGAAAGCAGCGGGAUGCUGAACGUGUUAUGUAUGAGCAGAGGGCAAAUAGCUGUGACAGACCAAGACUCUGCAAGUCCCUAACAGGAGGGUGUUGCCAGGUGUGGGUCGGCCUCUUCUCACAAGCGACAGGACGAGAGGACACGAAGUUACCAAAGAGCUCAAAGCUGCACUGGUGCUCCUCACCAGACUGCACAGCAGCAUCCAUCUGCCCAGGAGCACCUGAGGACACCGAGGCAUCAGAAAGCAUCUUCAUUCACAGCAGUGGAUCAGGAGCUCCAUUUCACUACCAGAACAUCCUCCAGCUGGACAGCAAACCCUAACCUUAGGAAAACCUUGACUGUGCCAGAAUUUCUGUCUAUCUCACUGUGAUUAAUAGACCUUGGACUGUAAGGAGGGAAUAUUGAUAUCAUAAAUAACACACUUCAUAAGGAAGGUCAAUUUUCAGACUAUCCAGAAGCAAUCUACAAACCCCUAAAAGUCGUAGGCAGGCUGAAAAUUAAGAUAAUUUUCCCAACACUGCCAGCAAAAUAACUUAUGGAGCAGUGUUUUCCCUAGGGAGCUCACAUGUAAGUGCCUAACCUAAGACUCUUAAAGUAAUCAUCUUAUCAGCCCUUACUAUGUCAUCCUGUGCCCUAAAGAAAGACAAAAAUAGACUGUUGAAGGAUUUAUGAUGAAAACACUCCUGUUCUCAUAAACUUGUAUCUGAGCCUAGGUGAAUGGUUUCCUGCAUGCUGGGAAAAAGAAUGAAUUAAAAAUAAAUUAGAAGAAUAUGAAGAGAUCAAAUAAUAGAUUAUUAAUAUUUGUUAUCUGGAUAAUGAGCAUGGCAGAGAAGCUGAUUGGAAAGUAAUUUGCUAAGUGAUACAAGCAGAAAGACUUUCAGGAAGAUGGAAUGGAAAUAUCUUGGGGAACAUCUGGCAAAUUAAACAAUUUCAAUUAGGCUUACGAGAAAAGAAGGAAAUCCAUGCCAGAUUGAGGAGAGAAGCAUUGAAAAUCAGUUGGAAUCCUGAUGGCUUCUCAAAUAACCUGUCAACUCAGAACAUUGUGAUUCUCAGAGCAGCAGGUAACUCACAGAAGUUUGGGUUGUUAAUUUCCCUUUUUGUUUUUCCCCAAGGAUCCAUUCUACUUAAGUAUACAAAGCUAAGAUUUUACAGGUACAGUUAAAGAGGCUAUCAUGAAAGAUUAAGUUUAUUGUCACUGGUUUGUUUGGUUAAGGUCUCAAGAGCAAAAUAAAAAUGUUCCUGAAUGGAA